rnacentral:rRNA from 1 species
UACGAAGGGGGCUAGCGUUGCUCGGAAUCACUGGGCGUAAAGGGCGCGUAGGCGGACUUUUAAGUCGGUGGUGAAAUCCUGGAGCUCAACUCCAGAACUGCCUUUGAUACUGAGGAUCUUGAGUUCGGGAGAGGUGAGUGGAACUGCGAGUGUAGAGGUGAAAUUCGUAGAUAUUCGCAAGAACACCAGUGGCGAAGGCGGCGACCUGGGCCAAUAUUGACGCUGAGGUGCGAAAGCGUGGGGAGCAAACAGG